CCCUUAGAUGUUCUGGGCUGCACGCGCGCUACACUGAAGCGUUCAACGAGUAUUCACCUUGCCCGGGAGGGUUGGGUAAUCUUUUGAAAACGCUUCGUGAUGGGGAUAGAUUAUUGCAAUUAUUAAUCUUCAACGAGGAAUGCCUAGUAAGCGCAAGUCAUCAGCUUGCGUUGAUUACGUCCCUGCCCUUUGUACACACCGCCCGUCGCUCCUACCGAUUGAAUGGUCCGGUGAAGCGUUCGGACCGUGGCCUUUGGACGGUUCGCCGUCUGUUGGCUGCGGGAAGUUCGUUAAACCUUAUCAUUUAGAGGAAGGAGAAGUCGUAACA
rnacentral:rRNA from 1 species